GGCGUCGAGUGGCGGACGGGUGAGUAACGCGUAGGAAUCUACCAAAUAGCGGGGGAUAGCCCGGGGAAACCCGGAUUAAUACCGCAUACGCCCUAAGGGGGAAAGGCCGGGAUCUUCGGACCGGUCACUAUUGGAUGAGCCUGCGUCGGAUUAGCUUGUUGGUAGGGUAAUGGCCUACCAAGGCGACGAUCCGUAGCUGGUCUGAGAGGAUGAUCAGCCACACUGGGACUGAGACACGGCCCAGACUCC
rnacentral:rRNA from 1 species